rnacentral:rRNA from 1 species
CACCAGAUAAGACAGCUGAAUGAUAGUCGGGCUGAAGACUCUACUUGACUAGCUGAGAGGAGGUGCAUGGCCGUCGUCAGUUCGUACUGUGAAGCAUCCUGUUAAGUCAGGCAACGAGCGAGACCCACGCCAACAGUUGCCAGCUCGUCCUCCGGGAUGGUGGGGACACUGUUGGGACCGCCUCUGCUAAAGAGGAGGAAGGAAUGGGCAACGGUAGGUCAGCAUGCCCCGAAUUAUCUGGGCUACACGCGGGCUACAAUGGGUGGGACAAUGGGUAUCGACACCGAAAGGUGAAGGCAAUCUCCUAAACCCAUCCGUAGUUCGGAUUGUGGGCUGCAACUCGCCCACAUGAAGCUGGAAUCUGUAGUAAUCGUGUCUCAAAAUGGCACGGUGAAUAUGUCCCUGCUCCUU